AUCUUAUUCCUGGACUGGCGCUGCACGGAACAGAGACGGGUGGGUGUCCAAGAGAGUAACGUUUGUACGAGGUCGCCCAUCACUGUUCCUUGCACCGUCUGUCCAGGGAUGGAU
rnacentral:pre_miRNA from 1 species